rnacentral:lncRNA from 1 species
AUCCCUGACCCCCACGCCAUCUCCUCACGGCCGCCAUCCCCCCAACCCCCACCAUUCCCGCGCCCCGCCGGCAUUCCCCGCACCGUCAGUGUCCCCGUGCUGUACCCGGACCUGCGGCGGGAGGUCAGGGUUGGCGAGGGCUGCUGCGCCCGGGGAGCGGGACCGCCUUGUGAGGGGGAAAAAUGAACCCUUGGCAGGUGUUUGCGUAGGAGACUUCGGUGUGAGCAGUGAACGCCUGGAAAAGGCGUGAGGGAUCGAUGGCAGGGGAUUCUGAGGGGAUACCUGAGGCAGCCGGUGCCGUGCUCUGCAGCCGCCCCGAUGCCGUGGUGCCGGCACUGCCAGGGUACACGUGGUGAAUAGUGCCCUGCAUUGUACGUGCUCGAGUGAUCACGAUGCAGCCUUUGGACCCCACGGAUGGGGUGGGGAAAAAAUCCAGUCCAUUUUCUCUGAUGCUACUGGACUGAGCACUUCUGCCAUAGGAUUUGCCAGUUAUUGUUGACAGUUCCCUGCCAGCCUCCUGUGGCCCCUUGGCUCUGCGGAUCGUGGGGCAGGCAGAAUGAAGGAAAGAGUGGUCAUCUCCUGUCACCCAUCCCUGUCCUAAUAACAGAUGUCCCCAAGUCAGCAGAAAACAGAGAGAAUUUCUUCCUUUACUUCUCUUUGCCUAAAAGGAUAUCCCCACCUUGUUUGUGCUGAAGAGGAACCCUCACUGCAGCUCAGGAAGGAGAAAGCUUCUCAUGGAAACGGGCUUUUUUGUGGACAUUAUGACUGAAAUACUAAUGCUGGUGAGGAGCACCAUGGUCAGCACACAAGAUAGGAGACCAGCAGACCUUUCCCCAGGACAGGCGAGAGCAGAACCCCCUCACCCGAGGAGCCCCAGCUGCUGAGCUAUUACAAGGACUAAGCGGUGUAUUCGAGCAAGAUGGAUCCCGUCCCAAAGCUUUGCAUGUAAAAACACACACUUUGAAUUUCACAGGAGCCAAAGCUGCCUGCCAGGAACACUAGGAGGAACACACUCAGCCAGUGGGUGUUCUGUGCUCACACAGGGAAGCUCCCUUUUGAUCUCUGGGUUUAGUCUUAUGGACUGUUCUCUGCAGAAACCCAAACUCCAGGUGACAGAAGCACAGUAAGGCCCACCUCCAGGGGAAAAAAUAAAAGAACAAAAAGUAUCCA